rnacentral:tRNA from 1 species
GCUUCGGUAGUAUAGUUUAGUAUUUCGUCUUUCCAAGUCGGUGGUCUAGUUUUUAGUCGAUGCA